GUCGAGUGACGUGAUCGAGUGUUGGUCAGGAGAUACUCGACUUCCAGGUUGAGUGAAGAGGUCGAGUGGUUGUCUGAUGAUGGAGGUGAAGACACUCGACCUCAUGGUCGAGUGAAGUGAUCGAGUGAUGGUCUGGUGAUGGAGAUGAGGGCACUCGACCUCGGGCUCGAGUGGUGAAGUGAAGUGGUGAUGUCCUCUACUCGACCUGGUGGUCGAGUGGUCUCUUGAGAUCUUGAAGCUCCUACUCGACCUCUGGGUCGAGUGGUUUGUCAUGAUCAGGUCCGCUUCUUCCAGAUAGCUCGUCAACAGCUCCAAAUCACCUGAAAUCAACGCAAAUAUGCAACAUGCAUGCAAAACUAUCCUCAACAUGCAAAGUGAUGACAAAUGAUGUGAAAUGGUAUAAAACA
rnacentral:sRNA from 1 species